UUGAUGUGUUUGCCUAACAGGAUUACCCUUAUCGUAAUGAUAGAGCAGCCCGGCCUUGGCACAGCUAAAGCCAAGGGUUGGGGGGGUGGUGGUCAAGCUCCUGCCUCCCUUGCCCCGAAUGCAGCCUGUCUCUGCUACCUUGGCAGCACCCAGCCGGUACUUUGCUGGCAUUUGGUGCUCUGCUUUUGGAAAGAGCACCUGUGGCGUGUGGUGCUGCCUGCUGACAUUGCACUGGGCAUUUCUCUCUCUGCACCUGAAAAAAAAAAAAGAAAUAAUAUUAAAAGGUUAGAAAAAGGAUACAGUAUUUUGCAAUGAAGAUGCCUUCCCUGUGGGGAAUUGCUCCAAGUGGGUGCUUGAUUGAACUCAGGGUGAAUCUAUGGCCCUCUGGUUCCCUGGGAAUAGAGCUGUAGGGAAUGAACUAAGAAGUUGCUUGCUUUCUGCAUUGUAUACCAUGAACCUGCCUAAAACCAUCGCAUCUGUUUGUAUAUCUGUGAUUAUUCAAAUGUGCUGAUUUGAAAGGCUCAAGGCAGCCCUAGGCCGAGCCCUCCCCUGCAGUGCUUCCAGCAGCAGUGAGCAGGGCCCUGCUGAUGCCCACGCCUGCUCCUGGCCAGGGACCUUCUCCCUUUCACUACUGUUCUCCCUGCCUGAAGCCAGCCUCCCCGCACCAGAUCCAGGCGCUAUUUGCAGCAGCAGAACCCACCGCCUGCUUCUUGCCGCUUCCCAAACAAGCAGGAUCCUCUAUUUAUAAUGCGCUAUAAUUGGCUCAGAUGAAACUUGUGGUUAUCGGGCUGCUGGGGCCUCCAGGGACGCUGAUGCCGCAGGGUAUGGAGGUCUGCAGUGUGAGCCGUGUGCUCACAGACCCCUGCUUUCCACAGCGCCCUGUAUUUGUCAGGGAUGUGUGGGUCCGCUUUUCUUAGAUGAGGUUUUGUGGCACGGAGGCACUGCAAAGCCAGGAAGAGAGAAAUCUUCCCACCGCGCCCUGAAGAUGCUUUUCACCAAACCCAUCAUUUUUAACCCCAAGGCUUUUAUAGCAGGGAUGUGAGCAGGGCUCUGUGGCCCCAAAAUGACCAGCUCCAUCACCGGGCCUAAACUGCUUGUGUUCGCUACAUUUGAUGUAGCACCUGUUUGUUUUUUCUGGGGCGUGUGACCAUGUGCAGCCCACGAGGGAUCCAGCUGUGCGGACUGAAAUUACCCCGACCUCGUAGCUGGACAGAGGAUGAGGUGCCGGGGUCUGGGAAAAGGCAAAGCACUAUGGCUCUCCCUCUUAGAAGCAGGUCCAUGUGUCGUCGUGCUCACCCCAGGGCUGCAUUUGGGCUGCUGUUGCUUUCUAAACCCCUCUGCCAUGACAAUAGUAAAAUGUGAUGGAUACAUGGCCAAGCAGGAGGAUUAAAAAAAAAAAAUAGAGAAUGCUUUGCAUAUCUUUGAGGGCUUAUUUUUAUUCCCAUUUGUUCGUUCUCUCAGCUCUUGGCUGCCAGAGGGUUUGCAGAAAUAACAAAGGGGGGUGAGGGAAGGGCCAGCGCUUUGGGGGGCUCCUCCCAGUGGUGGAGGAGGUUGCAGGCAGCUCCAGCAGCACCUGUGGGCUCCAUCCUCCGCGCUGGAACAGGAAAUCUGCUUGCUUCGUGUUUGAAAAAGAAGAUUGAUUUAUCAGUCAAAAGCCCUUUUGCUGUGAAGUGCUGCUUAGAAGAAAUCUUUCUUCCCCUUUCAUUUCAUAAAAACGCACUCAGAAAUCUCCUAGCAGUGCCUGGGGCUGCUCUGCUGCCAAGAAAUCCCCCGGGUCUGUUGAUUAAGCCUCUGUGAUAUUUCCGGUUUCUCUGUAAUUGUUUUCUAAUGAAAUUUUCAAAUCCGAGUAUAAUCAGGAGGUUGGACCACAGAGAGCUCACAGCAGGGCUCCUCAUUUGGAUGUUUCUUUUCCUAAAUCAGUAGCUGUCUUCUGCACGGAGAUGAGAAAGUAAUUUGCUGUAUGUAAAGAUGUCCACGAUCCAGGUGGCAAUGUCUUUUACCUGCAGCGUUCUGCACUAACAUCGUUUUAUGCAGCUCUCCAUUGCUUUUGCCACUGAAAUUAUCGUUGCUGUCUGAUCAGAUUUGCCUGUUCGUUUGUCUUUUUGUGGGUUAGCGAAUGGCUGAGGGAUUACAGCGUGGUUAUCCCUGCCAGAAUUCCCCGGUGCUUCUGUGUAUGCAUUUUAGUGAGAGGCUGUAUUGCAAUGCUGCGUUGUGCCCUGAAUUUAGCCAUGGGCUCAUGCUCCCAGGUAUUGCCCGCGCUCCGUGGCUUUCUUUGCUUCCUGCUGUGCCUCCAGCCCAGAAAACAGAAACACAAGAGAGCUGAAAAGGUUAUGUAAAGGGGAGACAAAAUGUGUGACAAAACCAAAAGAGCUAUAAACAGGAACCCGGUAUAAAUAGCGAGCUGAGAAACACCCGAGCCCAGUUGCUGCAUGGCAUAAAGGUCGGCUCCGCUCCCUGACCCAUCCUGUGACCCUAAGGAGCGGUGCUAGGGCAUGCGGGGGGGUUGUGGCACUUGGGCAAGGUCUUGGGCUCCUUCCUUAUAAAUGGCAUGGCAAUGGGACAGGGCAGGUUGUGAUGGUGAGUUCUGUACAGCUCCAGGGGUGGGAUUUUGCGUGAGCAAUGGAACUUCCCAGAGUUUCAUGCGGCUCACGCAAAGACAGGCUGAUCUUGCAACCCGUGUGCUUUAUGGAGCAGAAAAAGCCUAUGGUUUGGCCAGCGUUCAAGCACCUUUCUUUGUUGUCCUUGUGAUGUGUCAGAUAAGGGUUCAAGGUCUUUGGUUGCUUACAUAGAAUAAAAGCAGCUUUUCUUAAGUUGCUGCUGGCAUCUGUGGGCUCUGGGCGCUGCUCUGUUGCUCUGAUCUCGGGUGCCUGCUGAAGAUCUGAAAAUCAUAGAAUUGGCGGAUCAUGAUGAUUGGAAAAGACCUCUAAGAUCAUCUAGUCCAACCACAACCCAUCCCACCAUGCCCACUGACCACGUCCCUCAGUGCCACAUCUCCACGGUUCUGGAACACUUCCAAGGGAUGGUGACUCCCCCACUUCCCUGGGCAGCCUGUGCCUGUGCAUCAUCACUCUUUCUGAGGAGAGAUUUUUCCCAAUAUCCAACCUGAAUCUGGUGAAUAGAAGUGCCACGUGCAUCUGCACAGCGGUGUCGGAACACCUGACCCACACAGGGGUCAGCUAACAUGGGUUUCGGGCUUGGGUAACGUCUGGGAGAGGAUGAGAAGUCCAGUGCAAGGAAAAGCAAUGCUCAGCAAGCUGAGGCUGGGGUGCGUGUGUUUUUAUUUCUACCUUUGGCUGAAAACUGUUGGCUAAAAUGCGAAUAAAAAGCACUGCUGUUAUUUUCUCA